rnacentral:lncRNA from 1 species
AAGCUUUCAAAUAAUUUAUAAUAUAUUUCAUUUUCCUUAAUAAUUUUCAAUUUUCAUAGCAACCAGAUAAGAGAAACCGAGAUUCCUCCUGUCUUUUCCUUCCCAUCCUAGUCGUGUUGAAGGUCCAGACUAAGCAUAGAGUUUAGGAAUGAAUAUAACCAACUCAUUAUUCUAGUUUCUAAGAAAAAAAUCUGAGUUCUUUUCAUUAAUAUAACCAACUCAUUCACGAUCUGAAAAUAAAGAGAUCUAUCAUAUCCCCCUAAAGUGUAUAUUGUAUAUGAUUUUAUGGUUUCCAUCACUGCAAAUACAAUCACCUAAAUUUAAGAUCAUAAGCAACUCCCCAUUGGCAAAGGGUAUUCAUCAAGUGGGGAAAAUCAGCAGAAAUAUUAAGUUCCCACUCUUGCAAGAAUGGACUAAACAGGGUCCAGUACCUAGCUAACAUUCAUAAUUAAAUACUGUUACUAUAUAGGUAGAGCUCAUUGUAAAAUACCUAUUAUUCUAUAAUUCAUGGGUAGAGCCAAAGAGUUCAUUACAAGUUGUAAAUAACAUUUAUUAAAUGAAGAAAGGAGCUCCAGCGUGUAGAAAGAACCUCACUGUUUAAGGAGUAACCAUAGAAACGAUCCACAUUCAGAAUAGAGCAUAUUUAAUCCAAUUAAAUUAAAGAGUAAUUUAUUGAAUUAUUAAGUGAUUACUACUCAAAAUGUGCUAUUUUAUAGCUUGUAAUUAACUCUUUUAAACACUUUUGACUAGUAGUUAUUACCUUUUAACUUAAUUGGCAUGUUAAGGACCCUUGCAAUCGUUUCUAAUAAAAUUGUGUUAAGUUUUGGUGUUUUUCAUAGCUUUUUUAUCACCAAAGCAAUCCAAGAAUGAGGGAGAUCUUUGUAUAGUUCAUGGCAAAGCAAGUUGAAGCUCAAAUUCAUGAAGAAACUAAGCUUUGGAGCUUCAUAACCCUUUGCCAAAGCCAAACGAGGAUGCAAGGAAGAAAAUCACAUAAGAAAUCAACCAUCCAGCAAUUUCGCAAGUUGUGGAAUCCAACUUGCGAAAUUUUCGCAACUUGCGAAAUAGGAAGAGGAAAGGAAUUGCUGCAGGACAGAGAGCUGAUUAGUUGCAGGACAAUUUCGCAACUUGCAAAACCACAAUUUCAACUUGCGAAAUGGACAAUUUCAACUUGCGAAAUUUUCGCAAGUUGCGUUUGAACUUGCGAAAUCCACCUGUAAUCUGAGAUAUUUGCGCACUGACUCCGCUUGAUAUUUAUCUUCAGAUAUUUGUGUGUAAAUCCCUAUUUUCUCCUUGUAACCCACUAAUGACAAGUUUUCUUGGUUGGGAAGUUAGCAGGAGGGGUGAAUAGCUUCUCUAUAUAAUAUCUAUUGUAAUUUUCUUUUAAAAAAAGAUCGCUGGGGAGUUUUUCUCAGAGACGAACUUUUGUAUAGUUUUUCAGAAAGUAAUACACAAAGCUCUGCUCUGCCUUACCUUCUCAUUUUGUUUUCUCUUUUAUUUUUAUUUCUAGCAAAUCAAACUCUGAGGAUGUUUUCCUAGAGGAUGAGUGGCUAGGCUUUUUGUUUCUCGGAGUGAAGGAAGCUAGGUAAGGUUCCGGAUACAAAAGUGAAAGUUUCGUUGUUUCAGUUUUUAAUGAAGAGAAAGUGUGACCCGUUAAUGGUUUUUAUCUUUUUAGUUAACUUAAUAUCCCUUAAAAUCAGCUGGGCCAACACUUGGUAAGGCAAGUGGACUUCGUUCAUUGAGAUCCACUAGUUUAUCUCUUGCGAGCCUCUGGGAGGUGGUUUAUAGGUAGAUUUAUCUAGAAUAGCCAACACUUGGUAAGCUUUUGGACUCCCAGGAGACAUCCAUUAGUUAUCUCUUGCGAGCUUUUGACGGGUAAUCCAAGGUUAAGGAUCACCUUGAAUGGCCAAUACCGGGUGAGAGGUAUGAACCAUUGCAAGAUGAUCCAGUGACAGGGAUUUAGUGUUUGAAACCAUUAAGGGGAAGCAUCUGUACCACACCGGUUCGAGAAAUAACUAUUUGUUAAAUCCCUAAUGCAAAGAAAAGAUCCAAGUGACCAGAAUCUUUCUUUUUGUAUAAGGAACCUGAGCCUAGUGAUCUAAAACUCCAAGAAGCAUUUUUUUUUUAAAGUAAUUUCAGUUACUUUAUUUUUUGUUUCACUUAAAACCAACCUUUCACACAUACUUAUGUUUUCUUUUAAAGCUAAUCUUGAAAAGAAAAAACAUCAAUUCAGUUUUUGAACUAAUAUCAGUUGUAAUUUGAAAACUCAUCCUUGUGGACGAUCCUAGAGCCACUAUGCUAUGCUAACUAAUGCUACCUUAGUAUAUGGUGAAAUAGGUUUAUAAAUUUUGUUGAUUACUCCCAUCUGAGGACUGAAAUCAAAGCACACCAGUUGAUUGAACACCAAUCAACAGGGCAUACACCAGCUGGGCAUGAAUCAUUAAGCACACCAAAAAGGCAAUCCAAGGGUCUCAUGCGAAUCCAUGUCCUAAUAUAGAUCCAAUAUAGGAAAUUACAGAUCUGGGAGAUAUAAAAUCUAAUAGAUAGGUCUUGCUGAUUUAUUACCUAGACUUUAUUUCAGUUCUGAACUAGGACAUGUAUAUUAUAUUCUUUCUUCUGCCUCAUUGACAAAUGGCAGCAAGUGCGCAAAUCAAACACUUCUCAACAUGAUCAUAUUAUCACAUAACAGCUAACACUGAGUUAACUAUCUCAUACUGUUGAAAGAGAGAGAGAGAAAACCUUAAUUCUCAUUCAUAUGAUUAACUUCUUACAAUAGAGAAAUAUAUAUACAAGGCUAGGUUGAACUAACUACAAUAUAUGUGACCUAUAUUAAGAAAGGAAAGAAAGAUUGUACACUAUAAAUACAAUAUAUUCAACGCUCCCCCUCAAGCUAGAGCAUAUAUGUUAUAUGCACCAAGCUUGUUACAAAUGUAUUUAAUCCUAGGACCUCUGAGAGAUUUAGUGAAGAUGGUUGCUAGUUGAUCCAUUGAAUUAAGAAAACUUGUAGCAACACACCCUAAUGCGAUCUUCUCUCUAAUGAAGUGACAAUCAACUUCAAUAUGUUUGGUCCUUUCAUGAAAGACUGGAUUUGAUGCAAUAUGUAAUGCGGCCUGAUUGUCACAUACUAGCUUUAUUUGUUCAUCUUUUCCAAAUCUCAAUUCCUGAAGGAGUUGCCUCAACCGUAUGAGUUCACAUGUUGCCAAAGCCAUAGCUCGAUACUCAGCUUCGGCGCUUGAUCUGACCACUACAUCUUGUUUCUUACUCUUUCAAGAUAUUAAGUUACCUCCAAUAAAAACACAAUACCCUAAGGUGGAACGCCUAUCUGAGGGUGAACCAGCCCAGUUUGCAUUUGUGUAACCAACAAUUUGGGUAUGGCCCCUGUCUUCAUACAACAUACCUUGGCCUGGUGUUCCUUUAAUAUAUCGAAGAAUGCGGAUCACAGCAUCCCAAUGGUUGUCACAUGGUGACUGUAAAAUUGACUAACCACACUCACAGGAAAAGAGAUGUUUGGCCGAGUGAUGGUGAGGUAAUUCAAUUUGCCUACAAGUCGUCGAUAUCUCCCAAGAUCUCUUAGAGGCUCCCCCUGUCCUGGUACAAGUUUGACAUUUGGAUUCAUAGGAGUGUCAACAGGUUUACAUUCUAACAUACCUGUUUCUUCCAAGAUGUCUAAGGCAUACUUCCUUUAUGACAUAACCACACCUGAACUGGAUUGAGCUAUUUCAAGUCCCAGAAAGUACUUGAGUUUGCCCAAGUCUUUGGUUUGAAAGUGGUUGAAAAGGUGUUGCUUUAGUCUUUGGAUACCCUCCUGAUCACUACCUGUAAUGACAAUGUCAUCCACAUAAACUACCAAAUAGAUGUACUGGCUCGAAGAGUUAUGAUGAUAGAAAACUGAAUGAUCUGCUUCACUCCAAAGCAUUCCAAACUCUUGAACAACAAAACUAAAACGUCCAAACCAUGCUCGAGGAGACUGUUUCAAGCCAUAUAGAGAGCGGCGUAACUUGCACACUAAACCAGACUCCCCCUGAGCAACAAAACCAGGUGGUUGCUCCAUAUACACUUCCUCGAGAAGUUCACCAUGAAGGAAAGCAUUCUUAAUAUCCAACUGAUAAAGAGGCCAAUGACACAUAGCUGCCAUGGAGAGAAAUAAGCGAACAGAAGCAAUCUUGGCAACAGGAGAGAAGGUGUCAUCAUAGUCACAACCAUAAAUCUGAGUAUAACCUUUAGCAACCAAGUGGGCCUUAAGGCGAUCAACCUGACCAUCAGGACCAACUUUAACAGUGUAGACCCAACGACAUCCAACUGUAGAUUUAUCAGGAGGUAAAGAAACAAGAUCCCAUGUGCCAUUAGAGUGCAGAGCAGCCAUUUCAUCAACUAUUGCAUGUCGCCACCCAAGAUGAGAAAGUGUCGCACUACUGCUCUUAGGAAGAGAAACAGAGGAUAAAGUAGAGACAAAGGCAGAAUAGGAUGAAGACAAUCGAUGGUGGCUCAAAAAAUUAUAAAUAGGAUGAGGAUUACGAGUAGAUCGAUUACCUUUCCGAAGAGUAAUAGGCAAAUGGUCAGUAGAUGACAGGGUCGAGGUAGGAGAAAUCGGUGGGACAGGAGGUGAGUCAUUAGGUACCUCAGCUGAAGAGAGGGGAGGAGCAACAGCACGAUGUCGACGAUGAUAAACCUGAAGAAGACGAGAGAGCGCAUCUGAAGGGGGGGAUAUAUAGGGAAGUGGCAAUACUUCAGAAAUGGGAAGAGAUUUAGAGGAUGAGAAGAAUGGAGAGUCCUCAAAGAAGGUGACAUUAGCGGAGAGAAAAUAACGAUGAGUGUCAGGGAAUAACAACGAUAGUCCUUCUGAAGUCGAGAGUAUCCUAAGAAGAUGCAUUUCGUAGCCUUGGCAGAGAGCUUGUCCUGUCCAGGUGUGAGAGUAUGAACAAAACAAGUACAACCAAAGACACGAGGAGGAAGAAAAUAAAGAGGUUGGGUAGGAAAAGGAAGGGAAUGAGGGAUUUGGUUAUGUAAUAUAGAUGAGGGCAUACGAUUAAUCAAGUAACAAGCUGUAAGAAGAUCCCCCCAAAAACGAAAAUGAACAUGACUAUGGAGAAGGAGGGUACGAGUUGUCUCAACAAGAUGUCGAUUUUUACGUUUAGCAACCCCAUUUUGUUAAGGAGUAUGAGCACAAGAUGACUGAUGGAGGAUCCCAUGUUGGGACAUAAAAGAAGUAAAGGGUGUAGAAAAAUAUUCUCGAGCAUUGUCACUGCGUAACACUCGAAUAUAAACAUUGAAUUGUGUUUGGAUUUCAGCAUAAAAUUUCUGGAAAAUAGAGAACAACUCAGCUCGAUUUUUCAUUAAAAAUAACCAAGUACAUCUUGAAUAGUCAUCAAUGAAAGUGACAAAAUACUGAAAUCCUAAAGUAGACGCGGUCCGACACGGACCCCAAACAUCAGUGUGGACAAGUUCAAAAUGAGACUUUGCUCGAUUAUUCAAACGCUUUGGGAACGAGACACGAGUAUGUUUUCCAAGCCGACACGACUCACAUGCAAGCGACGACAAAGUGGAAAAACGAGGGACCAUCUUCUGGAAUAUGAAGAGACUAGGAUGACCCAGACGACUGUGAAUGAGAAGAGGAGCAUCAAUGGAAAUGCAAGUUGCAGGAGAUGAAGAUGAUGUGAGGUGAUAGAGGCCGUAAGACUCACGCCCUAUGCCAAUCGUCUUCCCCGUACUCCAGUCCUGCAAGAUCACAGAUUUAUCAGAAAAAGUGAUAGAACAGUUAAGAGUGCGAGUUAUUUUGCUGAUGGAAAUAAGAUUAAAAGGAUACUCAGGGGCAUAAAAGACAGAAUGAUGAGAUACGGAAGGGAGAGGAUGAGCCAAACCAAUACCUUUAGUCAUAGUUUGGGAACCAUUAGCUAAAGUAACAGUAGGUAAGGCAGAGGUAGUAGUAAUAGAGAAGAAAAUGUAUCUAUUACCAGAGAUAUGAUCAGAUGCUCCAGAAUCUGAAAUCCAUGGGCCAAGAGAAGGAGACUAAGUAAAGCAGAUAGAGACAUUACCGGUCUGGGCAACAGAAGCAACAUAAGUUGAUGUGGCUGCCUGAUAUCGGAGAUAGGCAUCAUAAUCACUACCAGCAAGGGUGAUACUCUGAGAUGUGAAGCUCGCAGCGGAGUCAGGUCGAGAUAGCAGAGGAUCAGAUGACUGAGCAAUGUGGGCAGUGCAAGGAGGCCGUCCAUGCAACUGAUAGCAACGAUCUCGAGUGUGACCAAGCUUAUUACAAUAGGUGCACUGAAGACGUUGUCCUCGACCCCGAUUGCCACUACGUCCUCCUCGAGAGUUAGUUUGAGAGGCUAACACAGAUGAAUCUGAAGGACCAUCAAUCGACAAGGUCUGAGUAGAGGAGAGGCGUAAGAGACGAGCGAACACAUCAUCCAAUGAUGGUACUGAUGGACUAGCAAGAAUCUGAUCUCGGACAGACUCAAGAUCUAGACGGAGGCCAAUGAGGGUUAACACCAUAAAGAACUUGUCAAUCUGUAUUUGUUGAGCUUUAGCACUAGUGAAGGACAUCAAAGUUAAGAACUCCUCCUUAAGAGACGCAAUCCGGCCAAUAUAAGUAGACAGAUCCAUGUCCUGCUGUCUCACAUGAACAAUAUAAAAAACCACCUUAUAAAAUCGUUGAAUAUCAUUCGUGUAUAAUCCUUUAGCCUGAGUCCAAAAUUUAAAGCAGGUUUUGUAGACACGAAGAUGAUGUAAAAUUUUGGGAUCAACAGAUUGUCAUAAUACGCUGCAUAAUUGUGCAUCGAUUUUCUUCCAUUGGACUUUGUCAACAUCAGGUAUAGCAUCCUCAGGUGUAACAAGAUGAUCCUCAUAACCUUGUCCCAUAAACCAGAGUUCCACGGACGCUGACCAGGAGAGAUAAUUCUCACUACCAAUCAAUUUUUCCGAUGUGAUAGUAGGAGAUCUAGAGAUGACGGAUGUAAAAAUAGGAUUUCUAGUCGCCAUAUCCACUUCACCUGAGAUUGAAUCAUGUUUGGAUCGAAAAGAGCCCUAAAGAGAGGUCGGAUGACAGCUGUGGAGAAGAACCUGGUAUGUCGGGACCCAAACAAAGGAGAAAAGUGACUAGAGAUGAAGAAGAGGCCUUCCCAAGGCACACACAGGUCUCGGCCAAGGAAAGGAGCUGCCGUUGAAGGCCGUUGGAGGCUGAAAUACCAAAAAAAUGGAGAAGUAGGGUUCGGAGAGGACUGAUAGAGGCUUAGAAGUGCAAGACAGCGCCGGACGAGCCUGUUGGUAGAAGCUCGGCACCAGAAAGUGGGCCACGCGCCCUCGCACGCCGGCGCGUGGGAUUCAGGCUGCCAGAUAAAAACGGCGCGUGGGAGGCGCGUGAAUUAGUUUUUGGCUUCAGUGCUUUCAGAAAAGUUGCAGAUCUCCUCUUUGCGCUCCUGAUGAUGUGGUCGGUGUCGGAAAAUAUCGCCAGAAAAAAAGUCUCCGGAAAAUAUCGCCAGAAAAAUGUUGACGGUGAUGAGGGUUUUCUGACCACGAUAUGGCUGACCGGAAAGCUUUGGGAGAUGGAAAAGGUGACCGGAAUGAAACACGGUCACUGGACAGAUUCCCGGAAUUAAUUACACGGGUAAACCAGAAAGAAUAAAGUUCUCUCCCUUGGCUUUGAUACCAUGUUGAAAGAGAGAGAGAGGAAACCUUAAUUCUCAUUCAUAUGAUUAACUUCUUACAAUAGAGAAAUAUAUAUACAAGGCUAGGUUGAACUAACUACCAUAUAUGUGACCUAUAUUAAGAAAGGAAAAAAAGAUUGUACACUAUAAAUACAUUAUAUUCAACACAUACAUUUUGUAUCUACUCUGCAUGCCUACCUAUAAGAAGUUGUGAAUUAGGUUUUGACUCAAUAGCAUCUUAUCCGAUAAUCAGGAGUUAUAAAGAUAUAAAAUGGUGAAACGUCUUGCCCUUGUGAUCCAAUUAUAUCAGUUCUAGGUUUGUAAGUAUCCAAACUAGGACUCAUGAAUCUAGUUACUUCAACCCUGCAGCCAUGAGUAACAAAUGGGUUAACUAAAUUUUGCCUCACAAUAAGUUGGUACCUCAGACUCCAUUUGAGCAUGGGUGUCUGCUGCAUUAGAAAGUGAUUGGUAUCUCUCACUAGCAAUCCUUGAUCUUUCAUUCCUGUAACUGUUACGCCAUCCACUGGCAGCUGAUGGCCUUGGAUAUCUGGAAGAAAAAGUUUCUGAGGGGAACUGCAAACCAUUUUCAGAGUGAGCUGCUUCAUGUCCCAAGUGGGGAUAGCUAAGACCACUCCUGUAUGAAGGUAUAAAUCUUUGAGAAUAGCUACUGUGGCCUUCCCUCACAGACUGACCAGACAGACCGUGAAGAUAUUGUGGAAGGGAAAUGGGGAAUCUGCUUGAAACAGAGCCAUGAUGGUACCCACUGAUAUCCACAGUACUUCUUCCCACAACAAACCUAUCUGUCUCAUGGCUCAAGCCAUUUGUUUCUGCAAGAUUUUACCAAACAUUCUUUUAGAGACAAUGGAAGAGUUAAACAGGAAAAGUAAUAUAUGGAAAACAAACCUGAAUUUAAAAAUCUUCCAUAACCAGCUGGAGGCACAGCAGUAUGGCUCCUUUCAUAAGUGGUGGAAUUGGCUGUUAAAUUUGCAAGGUCUACUCUACUAGAAUGGUUUAUCAGAUUGGUUGUUGGACAGUAAUAAUGAGAAGAAUAGCUCGAUAAAUGACCAGUUGUUCUGUUGGGUUCCCACUCAAAUCUAGAUCGUCUUCUCACAUUCCUUAGAGAUGCUUCACCAGAAAUUGAGAGACUACUGGCCCCAUAAUGAGAUAACCCAGGACCAUAAAAGUAGUUUUGAUAAUCUAAAGUUGGUUUGUCCAGAUGAAAUUCAGAAAAACCAGAGGAACUUCCUGCAUCAUAAAAUCUGCUUGGAAUGCCCCUCUCAUAGGCUAUAGAAAUGCUGGGGCUUUUUCUUUUGAAUGGUCCUCUGCUGUUUUGCACUGCAGGAUCUUGUGAACCACCUUCAACUUCAUGAAUAGUGCUUCUGUUGUAGUAAGUAGAAUGAGCAUGGCUAGCAUUAUUCUCCUGAGUCCGAUAAAAGGUUCCAGCAGCUGACAAGUGUGAGAAUGGAUCAUGAGAUGGACCUGGGACAGCUGCUUGAAAACACGGCCUUUGCAUGCUGAAACUUGAUAAAGAAUGUUCAUUGGUUCCGCAAUUCAGAUUCCGCGGAAAGGCACUGCUUACCCCACUUGUGAGUGCAUUCUCCAUUUGAUGAACAUAAGAUCCAUACACAGGAUCAACAGCCCUUCCUGUAUACAAAUAUCAGAAUCAGCAAUUACCUGUGGUAAAAGUUAGCAAUCUAAGGGUUGGAUCUUUUAGGCUACACAAUGGUGUUCAACCUUGCCUUAGUUGUCUCCAGAAAUUUUAGAAUCAAGGAUAUAAAAUUUCAAUUAAAAAUGUUGAAAAUUUCAAAGUAGACCAAAAUUGAAAUGCCGUCACAAAUACUUUUCAUAAUCAUGUCUUCACCCUGAAUAUGUGCAACAUAUUUAGAAUAAUUUGUUGGUCUUCAUCAUCGGUAGAGGUGGAGGCACAUGGGACAUGUGUACACAUUAUCAAAAAAAAAGAAAAAAAAAAAAAGAAAAAAAAAAAGUUCAGAACUAUUGAGGAGUAUUAGAUGCAUACUUGAGAAGUGAGAAAGAGUGAGGAACAAUGAAAAAAUUAGAAACAUGGUUAAGAAACAUGGAGAUAGGAGAAACUUUUAGGAGCUUCAUGUGCCUAUUUCAAAUCAAUUUACACAAUCAACCUUAUCACAAAACUUAUUUAUAAUUAAACCAUUAUAAGCUUAGAGACGUUAUGGUAUUUGUUUUUUGGAUGAAUAGAAAAGGCCAAAAUAUUUGACUUUUUCUAUUAAGUUAAAAGUAACUUAUUGAUAUCAACUAACACAAUUAAAGUGAACUUGUUAUCUAUAAGUUCAAUUUAGUUUUUUUUUUUUUUGUUGAUAUCAAUAGGUUACUUUUAGCUAAAUAGAAAAAGUCAAAUAUUGUCUUUUUCUAUUUAGCCAAAAAAACAAACACCACCAAGUUUCUAGAAGAUCAAAGCUCUUCACUACAUGCUAGGAUACAACCCAAAGUCCAUGGGGAUUAAAAGAACGGCAUGGAAAAAAAGAAAAGAAAAAAUCAUCCAGGAAGUGAAUGGACAUGCAAAAAGGUUUCCAGCUGUGCACCUGAAUGAAUAUAAGACUGAUAUGCAUCCAUAUGAUAUUGGUUCUGAUCUUGGUCUGCCACAGACAUUUGGAAUGAGUUUGUAAAGUAUCGAUGCCCCAUGGCUUCAAAAGUUAGAAGAAAAGGAAGGUGAAACACCAACCUGCACAUCAGAAAAAAUGUAUUUUGGAACCUCAGAACCUGCGGGAAGUUCCCAAUGGAACAAUACAAGAAAUAAUUUGAGUGCAUAUGUAAAGUUCUAGAAAAUAAAUAUACAAGCAUGACAAGAUUAGCUAAGGCUUAAUAUAGAAGUAUAUAUAUUUAUAAAUUUUUCAGGCCUACCUCAUCUGGAGAGGACCAAUCAUCUAACUGUUGCCUCAUGCCUUAAAUACAUUAGUGUGGAGCCUAAGUUUGAGACAACUGUGUAAUUUCUUGAAAUCAGGAAACGACUUUUUUUUUAUUGUUGUUGUUGUUGGGGGACCAAUUGAUGGUUGGGGGUUUAAAUUGGGAGAUACCAAAGAGUGAUUGGAAAGUUAAUCAACCUUUAUCACACAAGGCCUGAUAUAGCCUACGUUGUGAGCUUGGUAAAUCAAUUCAUGCAUUCACCCUUAGGGUGUCACAUGGAGGUUGUUCAAAGCAUUCUAAGAUACCUUAAGUUUACACUAGGAAAGGGUUUAUUGCAAAUUGAAGCUUACAAAGAUGCAAAUUGAGCAGGUCCAUCACAAAUGAUAGGUCAAUCUCAGGUUAUUGCAAAUUUGUGGGAGGAAAUUUAGUCCCUUGAAGAAUUAAAAAACAACCUAUAGUGGCAAGAUCAAGUGCAGAAAUUGAAUUUUGUACAACUCAAGGAAUAUGUGAAUUAUCAUGGCUCAAGAAUCUUAUGAAGGAGUUAAGGAUGGAUCCUAUUAAACCUAUGAGAAUAUAUAGUGAAAAUAAAGCAACAACCUUUUUUUUUUUUGAUAGGCAAAUAAGAGUAAAUAUAAAAAUAAAUUAAAAACACAAUUAAAAAAAAAGGUGAUUACAAUAGACUCGAAGAAUACAUUUGAGAAAACCAAAAAAAGCAAGCUAUAAUCACAAGCCCAAUCUAGCACUUAAAGCUCAAUCACUCGAUAAAAUCUAUCACGGAUAAUGGACUAGCUUGACCAUCAACUAUAAGAUAGCCCUAAGACCACAUGUAUGGAUUAGAUAUACGGGAGUUCUUAAGAGAUUGACUAGUGCAUUGCACCCCUUCAAAAGUUCUUGGGUCGCAUUCCUUCCAGAUUGUCUAGAAGAGGCAAAAAGGAGUUACUCUCCAAGCCUUUCUUCUCUUCUUGCCUACAAAGCUCCCAUACCAACCCUAUAACAAAUUCCUCACCAAAUAUGGGAGAACAAAAUGCCAACUAAGAAGAACAAUAAGUGUCAAAGUCCUUUGCUUUCCCACAAUGGAUGAGUAAAUGGUCUUCUUAUUCUUUUGCAUCUUUAAACAUAACAAUAACCUUCUAAAAACAUCCUCUCCUUCUAAGCUGGUCUAUGGUGAGAAUCCUUGCCCAAGCCGCUUCCCAUGGUGAGAAUCCUUCCCUAAGCUGCUUCCCAUGAAAAAAAAUCCCACUUUGGAAGGAGCCCAAGAGCCCCAAACUAACUUUGAGGGGGCUAACACUUCAUUCUCCAAUUCCAAGGUGGAGUAAAAAGACUUCAUCGAGAAUUCCCCACUUUUGCUAGCCUUCCAAACCAUCUUGUCCUCCUCUCAACUACUUCUUCCUAAUACACAUAGCUUCCCAAGAAACUCUUUGACAUUAUCCAUCUCCCAAUCUUUAAAAUGUCUUAAGAUGCACAAGUUCCACAUGAAUAAGGCAACAAUAAGCAUUGCACAUAAUCCACUACAACAUAAAAAGACCAAGCACAUUGAAGUUGACCAACAUUUAUUUAGGAAAAACAUUUAGAGUGGACAAAUUUGCACUCUUUAUUCCAACAAAGAAGAAAUCGGUUGAUAUCUUCACAAAGUGAGCAAGUUGGGAAUGAAAAUUAUCUUCAAACCAACUUGAGUGAGAGUCAGAAUAUUAUUUUCAGCUCGAGUGAUUUGUUUUUUUUUUUUUGAUAAGUAAAGGAUAUGCAUUAAAAAGGCAAAACGCCACAAAGCAUACAGGGAGUAUACAAGGCGGCUAAGGCCUCAAAAAACAAAGACAAAAAGAAUCACCUCCCUUUAGGUGGAUGCUAUCCAAUCCAGGAAGCCUAUAAGGGAGAACGUCUCCUCACCUACAUACAAUUUGGCCCAACUCUACAAAUUACAGACAAAAAAAUUCUUUAACUUCUGAAUGUUCAACACACCCCCCAUAAAAGCUAAUCUAUUCCUCUCCUUCCAUACCGUCCAAAAAAUACACAAUGGAAUGGCGUCCCAAAUCUUUUUCCUUUUCUUCCCCACAAACGAGCCCCUCUAGCUAGCUAAGGCCUCCUUUACAAUUUCUGGAAAAACCCAUUUCACAUCAACUAAACCAAAAACAAUAUCCCACAAAGCUCUAACCACUGUACAAUGUAUAAGGAUAUGAUUUACACUUUCUUCUUCACAUCCACACAGGAAGCAACAAUUUGGAAGUUGCACCCCUCUUCUUUGAAAUCUAUCCAACGUAAGCACCUUCCCCCACGUCGCCUCCCACGUGAAGAAUGCAACUUUAGUUGGCACCCUUGCCACCCAAAUGCUUCUUAAAGGAAAAUCUGUGUCAUUAGACUUAGUCAACAAUCUAUAAGCUUCCUUGACCCUGAACUGACCACUUCUUCCUUGCCUCCACAGGACUGAAUCUUCCUCCAAAGAGGGCUUAUGACCCCUCAGCAUAUGGAGAAAUUCCCCAACCGUAUCCAACUCCCAAUCAUUGAAAUCCCUCAAAAAAAUUAGGUUCCAAUUUCCUUGACCCGAACUUUUUUUUCGAUCCCACAUUUCCUCAACCGUUAAGUUCCUUUGAGCAGCUAUGCCAAAGAGAUGAGGAAAACAGUGGGACAGCACUGAAUCAGAACACCACACAUCUAUCCAAAAUCUGAUCGUAUUGCCCUUCCCUACUCGGAACAUCAUGUUAUCCCAACACCACUCUGAUUCUUUCCAAAUCUCCUUCCAAAUCCCUACUCCAACCGCCCCAUUAGCCUUCUUUGGCCUCCAACCAAGACCCUCUUGCCCAUACUUCACCUUGAUAACUUGUUUCCAAAGGUUAUCUUUGUCACAAGCAUACCUCCAUAUCCACUUGCCAAGUAAAGCUUUGUUCAACAUGGCUAACUUCCUAAGGCCUAGCCCACCUUUAUCCUUGUCUUUA